UGUUUGUGUAGUGUGUGUAUAUAAUGCAGUGUGUUUGUGUAGUGUAUUUAUAUGAUGCACACUACACAAACACACUGCAUUAUAUACACACACUACACAAAC